UACAUAGGCACCAAGCGUUGUCCGGAUUUAUUGGGCGUAAAGAGCUCGUAGGCGGUUCAGUAAGUCGGGUGUGAAAACUCUGGGCUCAACCCAGAGACGCCACCCGAUACUGCUGUGACUUGAGUACGGUAGGGGAGUGGGGAAUUCCUGGUGUAGCGGUGAAAUGCGCAGAUAUCAGGAGGAACACCAGUGGCGAAGGCGCCACUCUGGGCCGUAACUGACGCUGAGGAGCGAAAGCGUGGGUAGCAAACAGGAUUAGAAACCCGGGUAGUCC
rnacentral:rRNA from 1 species